UCCAACUGUGCCAGGGGCGUAGUGCAGGCCACACCUGGUCUUUCUCUUACAUAUCUCAUAACAUACAUGUCCAACUGUGCCGGGGCGUAGUGCAGGCCACACCCGGACUUUCACUUACAUAGUGCCAGGGGCGUAGUGCAGGCCACACCUGGACUUCCAUAUCAUAUCAUAUCAUGUCUCAUCAUAUUGAGGACCAAUGGGUCAUCCAAUAUCCAUCCACAUCAACAUCAAGAUAUGCAAUGCAACAUAUUCGUGAAUUCUAAUGCAAGCAACCUAGGAUAUCACAUGGCAUUCAUGAUGCAUGAUUCAUGCUAAAGUUUUUCAUUUAUUUAAAACGUAAGAGUUUAUUCUACUCACCUCUGGCUGACUCUGACAAGACUCUGAAGCAGCUGUCACUGCUGGGGUCCUCGGUUCCUCGGGUCCGAACCUACAAAGGUGGACUUAAAUGAGGGACCAAACAUACUAGAACAUGACUCUAAAACAUCCCCCAAAAACUCCCUUAAAACACCUCAAAACAUCCAUGGGAAGUAUGCAAAGGAAGGCUGAACAGGGCACUUUCGGCGGCAGGUUCGGCGGCCGAAAGUCCCUUCAGAGCCGAAAGUCAGGCAGGUUCGGCGGCCGAAACUCCCAGACAGAGACGAAACUCAUGCAUGUUCGGCGGCACUUUCGGCGGCCAAAACUGCCCUCCAGAGACGAAACUCCUUUUUCGGGGGCAGGCUUCGGCAGCCGAAGGCUGCCUCUACAAGCGGGUUCGGCGGCCGAAAGUUCCUUCGGCGGCCGAACCUGAGUUUCUCCAAAGUGGCAGAAACUCAGCUCCAACACGUACAAACGCCUCCCAAACCUUUCAAACAUGCAAAAACCUAUUCUACAACAAUCCCAAUCAUACCCUAUCAAGCAUACAAGCUCCUAGGGGUCUCAACUAGCCUAAACCCCAACUACAACACAUUAAACAUACCCACAUUGCUCAUAAACACACAUCAAACCCAUAAACUCAAAACAACCUAAACAUGCAUGUCUACUCCAUAAACUUGCAUAAAACUUGUUUAAGACAUACAAUGAGCUCAAGAUCGGCCCUUACCUCUUGAAGAUCGAGAGGAAAACGACCCUAGCUCGGAGAUGGGAGAGAUUGAGCUUCUUGAACCUCAAAGCUCCAAAACUUGCUUUAUAUUUGAAAAUCUUCAAAACAAAGUGAAAACUUGUGAAAAUCGUGAGAGAUUUGAAGCAAGAAACUCAAGAUCGGCGAGGGAUGGCGGAGAGCUCACCUUGGCCGACAAUGGAAAGAAAAGCUCGCCCAUUUCGGCUAAGGGACCCCUUUAUAGGUGGCUGGCCAGGCCACAUUCGGGAGCCGAACGUGCCUCCGCAAUGCAUGCAAGUUCGGCGGCCGAACCUGGACUUCCCUCACUUAUGCCUUCGGGGGCCUAAGGCUCUCCCGAAGUGCAUGCAUGUUCGGCGGCCGAACCUGGGUCUUCCUCCAAGAUUAUUUUCAUUCAAAAACUCAUUUCCUUUUUACUUAAAACCAUGAAAUACAUUAAAACAUUUUAUGAAAACAGGUUUCUACCCUACUAGAGGCUUCCGACACCCGAGAUUCCACCGGACGGUAGGAAUUCCGAUACCGGAGUCUAGCCGGGUAUUACAUUCUCCCCCCCUUAAGAACAUUCGUCCCCGAAUGUUCCUCAACUAGCACAUGCAAAGCAUACAACAUAACAUACACAUAACAUACAUACAAAGCACAUAAAACACAUAUAGAUCUAACCUUAAAAGAGAUGAGGGUACUGUUGGAGCAUAGACUCCCGUGUCUCCCAGGUGCAUUCUUCCAUAUUGUGGUGGUUCCAAAGGACUUUCACCAUCGGGAUUUCCUUGUUCCUUAGCUUUCUGAUCUGGGUGUCUAUGAUCCGUACUGGCUGUUCAAUAUAGGUGAGAUCCUCUUGGAUCUCCACAUCAGGCUCACUAAGAACCUUGCCCGGAUCUGACACAAAUUUCCUCAACAUUGAAACAUGGAAAACCGGAUGGAUUAUUUCCAUUGAAGCAAGUAAAUCCAGCUUGUACGACACAUUCCCAAUCUUUUGUAAGAUUUCAAAGGGUCCGAUGUAUCGUGGGGCUAGUUUACCUUUCUUCCCAAAGCGAACCACUCCUUUCAUAGGAGACACCUUGAGCAAUACCAGAUCCCCCUCCUGAAACUCUACUUGUCUUCUGCGGAUAUCUGCAUAACUCUUCUGUCUGCUUGCAGCAGUCUUGAUCCUUUCUCUGAUUAUGGGUACCACCCUGCUGGUGAUCUCUACUAGUUCAGGCCCUGCCAAGGCCUUUUCUCCAACCUCUUCCCAACAAACAAGUGAUCUGCACUUCCUCCCAUACAAAACUUCAUAUGGAGCCAUCCCGAUACUAGCAUGAUGGCUGUUAUUGUAGGCAAACUCCACCAAGGGUAGAUGCUGCCUCCAAGAACCGCCAAAGUCCAGCACACACAUUCUGAGCAUAUCCUCUAUCGUCUGGAUGGUCCUCUCUGAUUGUCCGUCCGUCUGUGGAUGGAAAGCAGUGCUGAAAUCCAACCUGGUACCCAUGGCAUUCUGCAGACUCCGCCAAAACCUGGAGGUGAACUGGGGUCCUCUAUUGGACACUAUUGAAACAGGAACCCCAUGCAGCCUAACGAUCUCAUCAAUAUACACCUGCGCCAACUUGUCCACAGAAUAGCCACUCCUGACAGGGAUGAAGUGAGCAGAUUUGGUGUGUCUGUUUACAAUCACCCAUAUGGAGUCCAAUCUAUUGAACGUCGCUGGUAACCCCACUACGAAGUCCAUAGCUAUAUUUUCCCAUUUCCACUCUGGAAUAGGUAGCGGGUUAAGCAUCCCAGCCGGCUUCUGGUGUUCCAGCUUCACCCUCUGAUACACUUCGCCGGCUGACACAAACUGUGCCACUUCUCUCUUCAUAGCUGGCCACCAAUAAACUUUCUUCAAAUCUUGGUACAUCUUGGUGGCUCCGGGGUGAACGCUGUAUCUUGCAUUAUGAGCCUCUCUCAUAAUGUCUCCCUUUAGCCCUAUGUCAUCUGGUACACACAAACGACUCCCAUAGCGGAGGAUUCCCUUGUUGUCGAAUCUGAACUCACUAUCUUUGCCUGACUGAACAGUCCUAGCAAUCUUCACUAACUCUGGGUCCUCAUGUUGUUUCUGAGCCACCUGCUCCAGAAACACGGGUGUCACUCUCAUCUGGGCAAUUAAGGCACCUGUACCAGACAACUCCAAUUGUAGACCUUCCUCAAUGAGCUUGUAAAACUCCUUCACCACUGGUCUCCUCUCUGCCGUGAUGUGAGAUAGACUGCCUAGUGAUUUCCGGCUUAGGGCGUCUGCCACAACGUUCGCCUUACCCGGAUGAUACUGAAUCUUGCAAUCAUAGUCACUCAGCAGCUCUACCCAUCUUCUCUGUCUCAAGUUCAAAUCUCUUUGACUCAGGAUGUACUGCAGGCUUUUAUGAUCUGUGAAGAUCUCACAUUUAACACCGUAAAGGUAAUGCCUCCACAUCUUGAGUGCAAAGAUAACGGCUGCCAUUUCUAGGUCAUGCGUGGGGUAAUUCAACUCAUGCUUCUUCAGCUGUCUAGAAGCAUAAGCAAUCACCCUUUCAUUCUGCAUUAACACACAAUCCAAUCCCACUCAGGAUGCAUCACAGAAGACUGUGAAGUCCUCACUGCUAGCUGGCAAAGCUAACACUGGUGCCGAUGUUAAUCUCUUCUUAAGCUCUUCAAAACUCUCUUCGCACUGGUCGGUCCACACAAACUUCUGAUUCUUCCUGGUUAACCUGGUUAGAGGAGCUGCAAUUUUCGAGAAGUCUUGAACGAACCUCUUGUAGUAACCUGCCAAACCCAAGAAACUUUUGAUCUCUGACACUGAAGUGGGUCUAGGCCAGUUAGCCACAGCUUCUAUCUUCUUGGGGUCCACCUCUAUCGCAUUUUCUGACACAACAUGCCCCAAGAAUGAGAUGCUCCUCAACCAGAACUCACACUUGGAGAACUUGGCAUACAAACCGUGUUCCCUCAAGGUCUGCAGAACCAACCUCAGAUGAUGGGCAUGCUCCUCUGCAUUCCUGGAAUACACUAAGAUAUCAUCUAUGAAGACAAUCACAAAGUGAUCCAGGUACUGGCUAAACACUCUGUUCAUGAGAUCCAUGAAUGCUGCAGGGGCGUUGGUUAACCCGAACGGCAUUACAAGGAACUCAAAAUGCCCAUAUCUGGUUCUGAAAGCUGUCUUUGGCACAUCUUCCUCUCUUAUCCUCAGCUGAUGGUACUCGGACCUCAGAUCUAUUUUGGAGAAACAACCCGCUCCUGCUAGCUGGUCUAAUAGAUUAUCGAUCCCUGGCAAAGAGUACCUAUUCUUGGUAGUGACUUUGUUCAACUGCCUGUAGUCGAUACAAAGUCUGAGGGAUCCAUUCUUCUUUCUCACAAACAAAACUGGAGCACCCCAAGGUGAGGUACUCGGUCGGAUGAAGCCCUUGUCUACCAGCUCUUGCAACUGUUCCUUAAGCUCCUUCAAUUCUGCUGGUGCCAUCCUGUAGGGAGGGAUAGAGAUCGGUCGGGUUCCAGGCAUCAAUUCUAUCUCGAACUCUAUCUCCCUAGCAGGUGAUAAACCUGGCAGCUCGUCUGGGAAGACAUCUAAGAACUCUCUGACCACUGGCACCGAGGCGGGCUCUCUAACCUGACUGCUAAGCUCUCUCACAUGAGCCAAAUACCCCUAACAUCCCUUCCUAAGCAACCUACGAGCCUGAAGAGCUGAUAUUAGACCUCUAGGUGUACCCCUUCUGUCUCCCCUGAAGACAACCUCAGACCCAUCCUGACCUCUGAACCUGACUCCCUUGUCCCUGCAGUCCAAGGUAGCACCAUGGGUAGAUAACCAGUCCAUCCCUAGAAUGACGUCAAAAUCUGUCAAGUCUAUAACCACAAGGUCGGCGGACAAGCAUCUUCCCUCAACAAACACAGGACUACACUGGCAGACUGACUCUGCCAUUGAUGGAUCACACUUGGGUCCACUGACCCAGAGAGGACACUCUAACCCAGAGAUCAUCAAUCCCAACCUUUCAACGGCUCUCGGUGCAAUAAAAGAAUGAGAUGCACCAGGGUCCAUUAAGGCAUACACAUCUGAACAACCAAUGACUAAGUUACCUGCCACCACGGUGUUAGAUGCAUCUGCCUGCUGUGUCAUUGUGAAGAUCCGUGCUGGAGCUGAUGGACCUUCACCUCUGAAACCCGCUGAAGAAGAGGCUAACCCUCUCCCUCUACCUCUGCCACUAGCCUGAGUCGUGGCUGGAGCUGCUGGCUGCGCUACACUACCUGAAGCUGUCUGCUGGGACUGAGCCAUCGGAACUGCUCUUGGACACUCUCGAGCCAUAUGUCCCUCCUGACCGCAUCUGAAACAGGCUGUCAUGCCAAACCGACAUACUCCCUUGUGUGGCUUACCACACCUUGCACAAACUGCAUUAUCCGCACCAGAGCUUGAGCCACCUCCAAAUCCUAGACUGGACUUAACCUUGUUCCAGAACUUGUUCUUCUUAGACUUCCUGUGGCCUCUGUCCCACUUUUUACUACCUGAAGCUGCUGCACUCAUUGAAGAAGAGCCUGGGGUCUUAGAACCAGAAGGCUGUGCCACUGACUGCUUGACUUUCCCCUCGAUGAUAGCACUAGCCUCCAUCCUCCUAGCCAUAUCCACUAUGGCAUGGAAGCUCUCCCUAUCUACGGACUGGAUCAAGGAGGAAUACCUGGAGUGAAGUUUCAUGAUACACCUCCUUGACUUCUUCUGGUCUGUGUCAAGAGUUUGCCCUGCAAACGACAACAGCUCCAAGAAUCUGUCGAUGUACUCAUCUACACUCAUUUCCUCUGUCUGCCUUAACUGUUCAAACUCAAUCAUCUUCAAUUCUCUUGAACUGUCAGGAAAAGCCCAUCCUGCAAAUUCAUUUGCAAACUCCUCCCAUGAUAGGCUGUCCAACCUCGGGCUCACAUAGUUCUUAAACCACUCACGGGUCUUUUUACAUUUGAGUGUGAACCCAGCCAUCUGAAUGGCUCUGCCGUCAUCAGCUCCUAUCUCAUCUGUAAUUGUUUUGACCCUUUCAAGGUACACAAACGGGUCAUCACCGGUUUCAAACUGGGGAGCACCCAGCUUCAUGUAGUCGGUCAUCUUGACCUUGCUCCCACCAGAUGAGCUAGGCUUAGGCAUAUGGGUUGCUGGAACUGUGGGUUCGGCUGAUGGUGGAGGAGGUGCAACAUUUUCUGAGGUAGGGUUAGCUGGAUUUGGAUAGUAGGGUGGAGGUGGAUACAUUGGGUGCUAUGGGUAUGGUGGGUAGUAGGGAGGGUAUGGCAUGUGUGUGGGAUAAGGGGUAAAGCUAGGGUAAUCCGAUGUACCUCCCAUCGAAUACCCGGGAUUUUGUGAGAAGUGUGGGUAGUGGGGUGGCUGAGCAAAUCCCGAGGCCUGAGUGCCUCCUUGGGACUCUCCCAUUCCCUCUUCUGACAUGCUAACUCCCAGACUGCCAUCUCUCCUCUGCUCUAUAUCCAUAUCAUCCCCCAUGUCCUCUGAUAUUCCUCCAUGAACUGUUCCCCUCACUGAUCUGCUUCUACCCAGAUCCAGAGACCUUUUAGGGUCUCUUGCUGCUCUUUCUCUGCUAGCCCUACUAGACAUUGCCCUAGGCAAUGUAGGAGGACGGGCGCUCAUGCCCUCAUCCUCAGGUGGCACUCCAGUCAAUCGUGCAGAUCGACGAGUUCCUCUCAUCCUGUUUUCUGAAAAACAGUACACAUCACAUAAAUGUUAGCAUCAUAUGGUUCAUGUGGGCACACAUGAACCCGCAUCGCAUACAUAUCAUUCAUAUCAUAGCAUUAAUGCACAUGUAUAUAAUCAUGGCAUUUCACAUUAUCAUGCAAGACAGAACUCCACAUCCUAUCCUAGUGGACAUGACCUUUCCUAUUGUGCUUGACCUUCUAUAACAUCUAUGAGCCCGACACUCUAGGUCCGACCAUAUGAACCUAGGGCUCUGAUACCAUUCUGUAACGACCCGGAAACCGGACCGCUACCGGCGCUAGGAUCCAGAUCGGCUUAAGGUCGCCGGGACCCGUAGCAAGCCUGACAUACAACCUGUAAGCCUGUGUAAUUCCAUACAUGAUCAUACAAAUACAUAAACAUGUAAACUUUUUCUUUCAUAAAUCAAGCUUAACCUGUGCAUGUACACUAACAUAACCAUAAACCUCACACUAGAGCCCUCAUCACAUGCUCCAAUGGGGUAUCAAUAACAUACAUUAAGCUUGAUUACACAUCUCAUCAAUAAUAAUAGUGAUCAUGCAUUAAAAGGGAAUACCAUACAUAUAGGGUCAAGCACAACCUCUAAUCCUCAAUAUCAUUUUACAUAUCAUGACUACAUAAUGCAUUACACUACAAUUUCAUCAUGUCCACAACUCCUAACUAUUACCUAAAAAUAGACUUUACUCCUGCCGACCUCCUGGUCUACCCUGUACCUGCAAACCUGGGGGGAUAAGGGGAAAGGGGUGAGCUAUAAGAGCCCAGUGAGCAGAAUAAUAAUAACAAUUAAAACACAUGCUAUCAUGUAAUGCAUCACAUCACAACCAUAUCACAUCAAAGAUGGACUUGUCACCAAGGGUCCUCUACAUAGGCCAACUAUGCCAGGGGCGUAGUGCAGGCCACACCUGGUCUUUCUCUUACAUAUCUCAUAACAUACAUGUCCAACUAUGCCGGAGGCGUAGUGCAGGCCACACCCGGACUUUCACUUACAUAGUGCCAGGGGCGUAGUGCAGGCCACACCUGGACUUCCAUAUCAUAUCAUAUCAUGUCUCAUCAUACUGAGGACCAAUGGGUCAUCCAAUAUCCAUCCACAUCAACAUCAAGAUAUGCAAUGCAACAUAUUCAUGAAUUCUAAUGCAAGCAACCUAGGAUAUCACAUGGCAUUCAUGAUGCAUGAUUCAUGCUAAAGUUUUUCAUUUAUUUAAAACGUAAGAGUUUAUUCUACUCACCUCUGGCUGACUCUAACAAGACUCUGAAGCAGCUGUCACUGCUGGGGUCCUCGGUUCCUGGGGUCCGAACCUACAAAGGUGGACUUAAAUGAGGGACCAAACAUACUAGAAC
rnacentral:lncRNA from 1 species